rnacentral:rRNA from 1 species
AAUGAACGCUGGCGGCGUGCUUAACACAUGCAAGUCGCACGAGAACGCUUUAGCUUGCUAGAGCUAGUAAAGUGGCGCACGGGUGAGUAACGCGUGGGUAAUCUACCCCUGAAUUUGGGAUAACGUUGCGAAAGCGACGCUAAUACCGGAUGAUAUCCGAGUGACUUUGGUUAUUUGGAUCAAAGGUGGCCUCUACAUGUAAGCUACUGUUUAGGGAUGAGCCCGCGUACCAUUAGCUAGUUGGUAGGGUAAAGGCCUACCAAGGCGACGAUGGUUAGCUGGUCUGAGAGGAUGAUCAGCCACACUGGAACUGACACACGGUCCAGACUCCUACGGGUGGCAG